GUGUUCUAUACACCCCUUUCUUGGGAUGCGCAUCCCAAAGAGUUCCAUGCCCAAAGGAGUUUGGGUGCUUCUUCUUUGCUGGUUUCUAAUAUCUGGUAGCAGUACAUAGUAAGGAGAAACUCUAAAGAAGAGGAGAAGAAGAAGAUCAAGGAGAAAGAUCAAGUGUUGAUCGCGAUCCGGACUUUGUUCAGAUUCAACAAGCUGAAUUUUAGAGAACCAAAAUUUAGAUUAAAGAAGACUGUUACAGACUAAUCCCGAGUGGAUACUCAUAG
rnacentral:lncRNA from 1 species